GGAAUUACUGGGCGUAAAGCGUGCGUAGGUGGUUAUUUAAGUCCGUUGUGAAAGCCCUGGGCUCAACCUGGGAACUGCAGUGGAUACUGGAUGACUAGAAUGUGGUAGAGGGUAGCGGAAUUCCUGGUGUAGCAGUGAAAUGCGUAGAGAUCAGGAGGAACAUCCAUGGCGAAGGCAGCUACCUGGACCAACAUUGACACUGAGGCACGAAAGCGUGGGGAGCAAACAGGAUUAGAUACCCUGGUAGUCCACGCCCUAAACGAUGCGAACUGGAUGUUGGGUGCACUUUGGCACGCAGUAU
rnacentral:rRNA from 1 species